rnacentral:tRNA from 1 species
GCGGCUUUAGCUCACUUGGGAGAGCGCCAGACUGAAGUAAACUUCAGGAUCCUGAUAUCUGGAGGCACUGUGUUCGAUCCACAGAAGCCGCA